UACGUAGGGCGCAAGCGUUAAUCGGAAUUACUGGGCGUAAAGCGCGCGUAGGUGGUUCGUUAAGUUGGAUGUGAAAUCCCCGGGCUCAACCUGGGAACUGCAUUCAAAACUGUCGAGCUAGAGUAUGGUAGAGGGUGGUGGAAUUUCCUGUGUAGCGGUGAAAUGCGUAGAUAUAGGAAGGAACACCAGUGGCGAAGGCGACCACCUGGACUGAUACUGACACUGAGGUGCGAAAGCGUGGGGAGCAAACAGG
rnacentral:rRNA from 1 species